rnacentral:rRNA from 1 species
GGAGUUGUGGGUGCUACUUGGCAGACGAAAUCAAACUUAAAGACACUUCUGGAAAGCUGUGGCCAUGGUCGGUGAUAGCCCGAUAAUUUUGUUUGGUGGAGUCAACGCGAAGAAGCAAUCGAGUAGGGUUGAUCGAUACUUCAGCCUGAAGAUUCCAGGUGUAUGUCUGGAAAAGCUAAAUAUAUACUGCGAGACCGAUAGUGGACAAGUACUGUGAAGGAACGUUGAUAAGCAUCUUGAUAAGGAGGUGAAAUAGAGCGUGAAAUUGUAAACAUGUAAGGUAGAAUAAUCAUCUAAAUAGUUACUUCUGUAACUACUGGAAACUUGCGCGAGGGUUAUGCUCRGACGCGAGGAAAYGAGUUAAAAAAAUCUAAAGUAUUGACGAAGCUCUCUGACGAUUUGCAGUGGACCUUACGGACCGCGGAGUUCGAAGAAGUUUACGAUAUGCCGGUGAUUGAAUGAUACGAGUUGUAUUUCCAGCAAUUAAAGGUGACUCUUCUACGCCCGUCUUGAAACACGGACCAAGGAGUUUAUCGAUUAAACAAGGCAUUGGCAUUUUAAAUGCAAUGGCCGUAAUGAAAGUGACCAUGACUUUGACAGUCAGAUCCAAUCAAUGUUAGAAAAGCGAUUAAGUUUAAUGGAUAAAACCCGAAAGAUUGCGAUCUAUGCCUGACUUGAAUGACGCGGAAAGAAAUUUCCGUAGAAGUUCUUGAACGGUGUUGACGUGCAAAUCGCUUGUCGAAGUUGGGUAUAGGAGCGAAAGACUCAUCGAGCAAUUUAGUAGCUGGUUCCAACCGAAAUAUUCCUUAGAAUAGCAAAGUCUUAUUUAGUAAUAUCGUGAGGUAAAGAUAAUGAUUGGAGAUCACGGGACACAUCGUUUCGUUCUACUCUCAAACUUUAAAUAUGCGAGUACAUGUUCUUACUUAAAUUAAGAAGUGCGUGCUAAAUAUACAAGACUUUAGUGGGCCUAGGUUUGGUAAGCAGAUCGGGCAAAGCGGGAUAAACCGUCAGUUACAAUGCAGUGACACAUGGAGUAUUUAGUCUAGACGCAAAAGGUGUUAAUACAUACAGACAAUUGGAUGAUGGCCAUGGAAGUCGGCAUUCAUUAAAGAGUGUGUAACAACUCACCAAUCAAAUGUAUUAGCCCUGAAAAUUGAUGUUGAGUAAAUACUUAACUUAGUUGUAACUAUUAUCUAAAGAGUAGAUAAUAUGUAGGUUGGCGUCCCCUUUGCGUGGAAGAUUGAUCGUGAGAUCGAUUGAAGCGGAGGGGAGUGCAGAUCUUGGUUGUAGUAGCAAUCAUUCAAACGAGUAAUUCUAGUCUUGUGGAUUAUUAAAGCUUUGAAGAUCGUAGUGGACAAGGUUUCCUUGUGAUUAGCAAUUGAGCAAGGGUUAGUCGGUCCUAAGCGUGGUUCGUAAUUGAACUUAUCAGGUGUUUACACUUGUACUCGCGAAAGGGAAACAGGUUAAUAUUCCUGUACUUUAGUGAUGGAAAUGGUGACUUCGGUCACGUAAACGGUAACGUUGAUCUCUUAUUGAAAAUGCCUUUCGAAAGCUCUGGAAGAGUUUUCUGUUCUCCUUAACAGCAAUAAAACGUCUUUACUUUUAGAAAGAUGUGGUACACGAUGGAGUUAAUAUAAAAUUGAGAAAUCGUAUACAGUAGUUGCGGCAGGCACCAUUCACUUUUUGAAUGGUGAGAUGUCUUUUGAAAGGCCCAUGCACUUGCAAAAAUUCAAUAGAGUUGCUUU